GGAGCAGAUUGCCUUGUCGCUGCGAAUCUAAGGAUUCGGGGAGGAAAAUCCGGGCAAUGCAGGGUACCGUACUUCUUAACAGGAAGGCCCCCGCAGGGAAACCUGUGGGGGACAGCCAGUGCCACAGAAAAAAACCGCCCUUUGAUAAGGGUAAGGGUGAAAAGGUGGAGUAAGAGCCCACCGCCCUGUCAGUGAUGGCAGGGGCAGCGGUAAACCUUACGGAUUGCAAGGCCAAGCAGCGAAUGGAUGAGUAGAUAAAUUUAUCUCCAUCCCACACUGACCCGGUGUGAUAUUCGUGGGUAGGCUGCUCGAAGGAAUAGGCAACUAUUUCUCUAGAUAGAUGACAAGGGCUCUACCUUGGGUAGGGUACAGAACCCGGUUUAUAGAUCUGCUCCCUAU
rnacentral:RNase_P_RNA from 1 species